rnacentral:rRNA from 1 species
CCUACGGGCGGCUGCAGUGAGGAAUAUUGGUCAAUGGGCGGGAGCCUGAACCAGCCAAGUAGCGUGCGGGAUGACGGCCCUACGGAUCGUAAACCGCUUUUGCACGGGGAUAACACCCUCCACUUGUGGACGUCUGCAGGUUCCGUGCGGAUUAGGGCCGGCUAAUUCCGUGCCAGCAGCCGCGGUAAUACGGAAGGCCGGAGCGUUUUCCGGGUUCAUUGGGCUUAAAGGGUGCGUAGGCGGGCCUUUAAGCCGGCGGUGAAAUGGCGGGGCUCAACCCCGGCGGGCCGUUGGAACUGGGGGCCUUGAGUGGGGGGGAGGUAUGCGGAAUGCGUGGUGUAGCGGUGAAAUGCAUAGAUAUCGCGCAGAACUCCGAUUGCGAAGGCAGCGUGCCGUGGCGCCACUGACGCUGAGGCACGAAAGCGUGGGGAUCGAACAGGAUUAGAUACCCGAGUAGUC